rnacentral:rRNA from 1 species
CCUACGGGUGGCAGCAGUGAGGAAUAUUGGUCAAUGGCCGGAAGGCUGAACCAGCCAAGCCGCGUGAAGGACGAAGGUGCCAAGCAUUGUAAACUUCUUUUGUCAAGGGACAAAAUCAGGCUCGAGAGCCUGACCGAGGGUACUUGAAGAAAAAGCAUCGGCUAACUCCGUGCCAGCAGCCGCGGUAAUACGGAGGAUGCGAGCGUUAUCCGGAUUUAUUGGGUUUAAAGGGUGCGUAGGCGGGCUGUUAAGUCAGCGGUAAAAGCCCGGGGCUCAACCCCGGCGAGCCGUUGAAACUGGGAGUAGUGAGAGGUGGAGAGGUAUGCGGAAUGCGUAGGGUAGAGGGGUAAGGCUGAGAUAUGACGCAGAAAGCAGAGUGCGAAGG